UUUAUCAAAACUUAUGCGCAGACCAAAAACUAAUAAACAAUCAACUCAAUCUUCGAAUUCCACCUACACCUAGGGGAAGAAAAAUCUCAACCUCAUUGAAAAACCCUGAACCCUCUCUUUCUCCUUGCAUCAUUCUAAACCCCUUCUGAAACCCCACACAUUAUUUCUCCAACCGUGCUUCGCAUUGCAUCAAAGCUAUCAUCUAGGGUUUCUUCUUCUUCCACUGCCCUCACUGCAAACCCAUUAUUCCCCACAAGAUUCUCUCCGAUUCCCGCUUCAUCGUUCCGACCAUUCACCAAUGGCUUGGAAUUGGUGGCCAACAUGGUCGUCCUUGACGCCAUCAAGAUGAUCAACGACGCCUUGAGGCAAUGGAGGACUGAAAGAUCACUUGGGGCGUUCAGGAUGGGCUUGUCUGUGUUGAAGAUUUGCAUUACCGAUGAACUGACUGAGGGCAAGGAGCCAAAGCUUGAGAAUUCGAAUGGAAUGGCCGUGCUAGCUAUGUCCACUUUGUUGUUUGAAAGCUACCUUCUUUGUGAUUGUUUGGUUACCUGUGUCUUUGUUCUCAUGUUGGAGCUCAAUUUUUUUUGGAUGAUUCUUUGAACUCAUUGGAGAUAUUGGAGAUAUAUAUUGUGUUAACUUUUCUUUUCUUAGAGAAGAGUAAGCUGAAGCGAUUGAGAAGCCAGAGGGUGUCCAAGAGUUAACAAAUUCUUAUUUGGGUAUUAGAGUUGCUGCUCUUGAAACUUAGGCUGGGCUUCAUCUAUUGAUGAGGCAGGAUGAUUUGGCAGCCAUGGUGGCUGAUAAGUGCAUGAAGGUGGUGGGGAAUCAAGAGAAACCACUAGAAUAUGAGGCACAAUUUGUCCGUGCUAAAGCACCAAAAGGGCUGAUUGAACUUGUCAAUGGCAAUCUAUGAAGCACGGACACUUCAGUCCCUUGCCGUGUCCGGUGUCCGACACGCGUCCGUGUCAGUGUCUGACCGACACGACACCCGUACUACGUUCUAUAUUUGGGACAUUACAGGUGUCCACGUGUCCGUGUCUGUGUCGUGUCCGGUGUCCGUGUCGGUGUUGGUGCUUCAUAGAUGGCAAUACUGACUUAGGUUGUGCUUAAGGUCUAUUUGUUCAUUGCUGUUACUCUUGAUGAACACUAAUUAUGUGCCUGGUGCAGCUGAAGAUUUCUUCGACAAGUCUCUUGCCAAGCAGUAUUGUGAUGGUAUCCUCCCGUUCAUGAGGUACUGGAGCAGGCAUCCUUCAACACCGAAUUGAUGUUUGGUUUUGUAGGUACUGCUGGUCUAUCAUAUGUGGAAUUCCUGCAUAAAAUAGGGAACUAUCCAUUGGCAAAAGAGGUUUACAUAACGUGUACAAGGUGCUACUGAAGUAAAAAAUGCUGGCAGACCAUACUUAGGAGCGGGUAACAUGAGCAUGGAAGAAUUAAUUGUAGGGUCCUUGUGUGCUUUAGGACAGCUUGAAGUACUUAUGGGGUGUAUACGCAGAAGUAGUUAGUGUCCAAAAAAAAGACAGGCAGAAGGGGAGAAGAUGAAAGUACUUGGCUGAGUCUCUAUGGAAACACCGCCGCUGGCUAAAGCUAUUGAUUCAGGGGAGAAUAUCAUAGAUUCUAGAAUUGGCAGGAUUCUGUAAAUUGGUCAAUUUUCUGUGUUUUUACCUUAUUACUGCUAUAGGUUCUUGUUGGACCGUGAUACAUAACCAAUACCAUGGAUUAAUGUUGUGUAGAGUUUGAAAUGUCGUGCCGACAUAUACUAUGAUAUUCAAGAUCGGCUGAUGUAUAUUUAGACCGAAUUUUAAUGAGGUCUUUUUAAUAUUCACUUACAUUAUAUGA